GAUAAAUAAAGACCCUAUCCAGGCCCUCAUACAUUAACACAUAAGAGUAAAUGAUAAAUAAAGACCCUAUCCAGGCCCUCAUACAUUAACACGUAAGAGUAAAUGAUAAAUAAAGACCCUAUCCAGGCCCUCAUACAUUAACACGUAAGAGUAAAUGAUAAAUAAAGACCCUAUCCAGGCCCUCAUACAUUAACACGUAAGAGUAAGUGAUAAAUAAAGACCCUAUCCAGGCCCUCAUACAUUAACACGUAAGAGUAAAUGAUAAAUAAAGACCCUAUCCAGGCCCUCAUACAUUAACACGUAAGAGUAAAUGAUAAAUAAAGACCCUAUCCAGGCCCUCAUACAUUAACACGUAAGAGUAAAUGAUAAAUAAAGACCCUAUUCAGACCCUCAUACAUUAACACGUAAGAGUAAAUGAUAAAUAAAGACCCUAUCCAGACCCUCAUACAUUAACACUAAAUGAUAAAUAAAGACCCUAUCCAGACCCUCAUACAUUAACAUGUAAGAGUAAAUGAUAAAUGAAGACCCUAUCCAGGCCCUCGUACAUUAACACGUAAGAGUAAAUAAAGACAUCACCUUGGAACACUGUUUGAUUCUAUCUUUUUUUGUUGAUGAUACAACAUUUUUGGUGAAGGAGUCAUUAUAAACAGUCCCACCAUUCAUAAGAGGCAUUUUAUUGUAUAAUUAAUUCUGGUGCAAUAUUCAUAUUUGAUAUGUGUAUUAUUCAUGUUAUCUAUAAAGGAUAUUUGAAAAUGGUCACAAACAACAUGAACAAUAUUGUUAUUGUUAUUGUACAGUUCAUCCAUUAUUUUAAUAAAGUGAUAGCAAUA